rnacentral:rRNA from 1 species
UACGUAGGCAGCAAGCGUUGUUCGGAGUUACUGGGCGUAAAGGGGUGCGUAGGCGGUCCUAUAAGUAUGGUGUGAAAUCUCCCGGCUUAACUGGGAGGGUGCGCUAUAGACUGUGGGACUAGAGUGUGGGAGAGGAAAAGUGGAAUUCCUGGUGUAGCGGUGAAAUGCGCAGAUAUCAGGAGGAACACCAGUGGCGAAGGCGAGUCCCUGGACAACUCCUGACACUGAGGCACGAAAGCUAGGGGGGGCAAACAGG